GGUCUGGGGCAGGACAUUGUGGGAAAUGUAUUGUGAGAAAAGAAGAGUACAUUUUCCAUACAGACUGAUUUACUUCUGGGUAUUUUCGCCUCCUGAGAUACAUGGGAUAUUGGAGUCCUUUCCUGGCCAUGCUGCAUAGGGCAGCCUGGGAAUCCCCAUGGCUGCUUCUCUGUGGGGGGCCUGAGGAGUCAUCUCCAGCCCCCAGAGAAACCCAUUGCAUGGUACACAAGCCAGCAAAUAGGUAAAGCAUCUGCUAGGUGACUCAUCACACUUAACAGAUAGAGGCACUCAGUGCAUUUUCCUUCUGGCCCCUUGUUGCCAGUGGCUUCUCUUGUUGAUGGGAUGAAAUUUUCCAGGUGGGAACAAUUUAGAUAAGCACACAGUCCUGGAAGGCACUUAUGGCGGAGGUGAAUCACUACUGCCACUUCGCAACACCCAGCCCUGAAGACCAGUGCAGGCCAUCAAGUGUACCAUCAGCCACCCAGGGGAGGCCUCGGGAGAAGCACUUCAGCUCCCCUUGCUUUGCUGCGCUCCCCACUUGGGAGAAAACCUCCAUACUACAGACCCCCUGGCCAGAAGACCCUGGAAAUCAGAGCUGAGAGCCAUCUUUGAAAUAUGCACCCCCUGAGAUCCUGUUCAAGAACUGCUUCCCUCUAGACUGAUGAAAACCAAAGCAAGAAUUUCACAUUAAUCCAUGGGAGAUGAGACGAGGUUGGUUCAGAAGAGAAGUCCUUCCUCUAGUCCUUCUUAUUCCUGUACUUGGGAAUGGGUAACUCCCCAGAUGGACAUAGGCCUCCCAUUGAGCCCCUGCGAGGUGAGCUGAGUGUGAGCUGGAAGAGUAUUUUGAUGUUUUUCUGCUACCUGGAAGAACAUUAGGAGAGAAGGUUGCCUGCCCAGCGUGUCACAGGAAGGGCAGUAGAUAGCAAGCCUGUCCAGCAACUCAUUGCAAGAGAGGGCAACUAAUGGGACCACAAUGAAGAAAAGAAAAGAUCAGAGAGGGGAGCAGCAGCACAGGCAACAACCAGAACAAACUACCUUCAGCAUCAGGAGUGCAGCUGACGACUGCUGCGAGAUCUGAGGGCCGUGGGAAGAGGGCCUCUUGGCAGGAAGCAUCUACAGAAGGUGGAUAAGAUCUUGAAGCCAAAAGGAGGAUGAGAAAGCAAGGAAAGGAGACCCUUGGCCAGCGUUUGCUGUUUGGCGUAAGGGUCUGAAAGUUUUGUCUUUGGGAUGCUCCUUGGGGCUGAAGCAGAAGCCCAGCUUCCAGCCUCAGUUCUCAGUUUCCUUGGUCAUGUGGAUUCUUCUGGACUCCAAACCUCCCUCAGCAGCAGUGCUUUGUGGCCAGAUAAUUCCUGGCUGCUCUUGUAUGUACAUUGUUAGAGACUGUAAGUGACCCAGCUACACAGGGCAGUUCUUGAUCAAUGGGUCCUUCACGAGGUAUUUUUGCGAUGGACAGGAGCCAGCGAGACCAUGUGCCCAGAAGUCGAUUAUCAUCUUUUGCCGUCACAGGCUGGGACACGACAGUCAAGCUCCAGAAGUUAUUUACAGCAAACCAGCCAAGCCCUUUGGCAAAGCAGCUGGUGAACUCCACCGCCAAAGACUGAGUCCGGGAUCUUUCUCCCCAUGACCAGCAUUGUAACAAAAAGAGUUUCUUUGAGCCUCAUCUUGCCUGGGAAUCAGCGUGAGCCCACCCUUGCUGUGCAGAGAAGAGGCAGGUCUAAGGUGUCCACACUCGCUUGGUCUGCUCCUGCUGCCAGCCCACACCACUGACUGCUUGUCUCAGCCACGAAAGGCAGGGUGGGAUGACGAUAACGUGGGAAGAUAGUCCUGACUUCUGCAGCCAGAAGAAAAGGCUGGUACCUGACAAAUUUAGCUGUCACCAAGGAAGGGCAGGCACUUGCUCUGUGUCUUUACUGCAAAGGUUUCUCCUCCACAGAUCAGGAACACAUGGAAAAAAAAAAAAUCUGUUUUUCAGGUUUUACCCCAGAAUAGCAAUGAGCAGUGAAAGGUGACCAUGAACUAAGACAAUAUUGAUCAAACCCUGGGGACGUGCCAAGCUCUGCAGAGGAGGCACAUGGAUAGCCACGUGUUAUUAGGCACACAAACGUCUUCCAAGUGCAGCUGAGCCAGGACUAGAGAGUGAACCAGGCUGAGACCCUCCCCGAGGCCCAGGAGGAGCCACAAAGCAGGAAAUGGAGCACAUGGGAAAAUUCAGCAUAAAACCUCGCCACAGAGCUGUUCUGGGAGCGAGUUUCCCACUGGAGAGUGUGGUCACACUGGAACCAAAACUUUUCAUAAAAGCAGGCCAAAAUGAAAUGUCUGAUUUCUAAUUUCAUGUUUCUGCCAGGGCAGUUUCAUUUGUAGUUCACAGGCUGUGCAUUUCAUUGAUUUAAAUUAAUGGUUUAAUAAUAAUGUCCUAAUUCAAAAGUAAUGCAGCAUAUUAAAUUUGAUGCUCUGGAUAGAUGCUAAA